rnacentral:rRNA from 1 species
UUGCCUACGGGGGGCAGCAGUGGGGAAUAUUGGGCAAUGGGCGCAAGCCUGACCCAGCAACGCCGCGUGAGUGAAGAAGUAAUUCGUUAUGUAAAGCUCUAUCAGCAGGGAAGAAAAUGACGGUACCUGAGUAAGAAGCCCCGGCUAACUACGUGCCAGCAGCCGCGGUAAUACGUAGGGGGCAAGCGUUAUCCGGAUUUACUGGGUGUAAAGGGAGCGUAGACGGCAGUGCAAGUCUGGAGUGAAAGGCGGGGGCUCAACCCCCGGACUGCUCUGGAAACUGUACGGCUGGAGUGCAGGAGAGG